GCCAUGUAAUCUACUUGGUAAAUCCAGCAAUUUUUGAGUUGGCCAGAGAGGAGGCGAAGAAGGAGCCUGUCCAAAGGUCUAACUGUGCCAUCCUGAUGGAGCUGGGCAGCAGCAUUUGGGGGAUACCCGUUGAGGUUUGGUCUGGGCUUUCCGGGGUUCCCACAUGGCCCCCACCCCAUCUCCUUCCACUGCAAGUACAAUCAAUCAUAGCCUGGCGUCUUCCAAGCUUUACAGGGGUAGGAGGGGUCCUUCAGCUAAGUAGGGCUGAUCGCAUUCCAUAGCUUCAUGAAUGCUACAGAGGAGCUGUCUGCUCUGUACUCAGAGAGCAAACCUAGGCAAGAGGAGGGAGGCCACGGGAACCGACCAGUCUCUGAAAGAUGCAGGAUUGGAAUUUGGGGCUGGCUGCCUCCUGGUCAGAACUGGUCCUGGGACGGUCACAAGAGGAGACUCGUGAUAUAUCCCAGAGCCCAGCCCUCACCGUGGUUGUCCCUGUGGCCUUGUGACCAGUGACCACAUGCUCUGGUUUUCUUUAUGGAUAGUCACAGAUGUUUAGUUACAGAGUUAAGGCCACCGCCAGGGCCAGUGUAGCACCUCCCCUGUGACUGGAUGACAUCAAAGCCGCAAAUGGUUUCCCCUGGGAGACAGAACUGGUGAGAAGAUUCGGUGGUGACAUGAGGAAGCUCCCUGACCAGGAACAGGCUUUUGUCAUUAGGUCAAAUUCAUGAGCAACUUGAUCCCCGGGGCACAUGAUUUCCACAGAUUGUCUCUGCAGGGCACUGGAAACAUGAUUCUAAGCCGUAGCAACCCCAGUGGCAAGACUUGGGGGACACCAGACAGCCCAGGACAGAGGCCCAGGAGCUGAGGGUACAAGAAAACCAGAGUGAGAAGGAGAGGCCGAGGCCAGGCCCCAAGCUUUGGAACUGCAGAGGGGUUCAGGUCCCAACUGCUCCUCCUCCUCGUGUGAGACCUGUGCGUCCACUGUCAUCUCCCCAUUCUUAUCUGGGAAAUGGGACUGACUGAGGGGCUUCCUAGAGUCGACGCAGGGAUUUGAUAGUGAUAUGAUUUAAUGACUUUACGUCGUGCCUAGCAAGGUGGUCUGCAUCAGAUUAGACAUUGUCUCUAGCGAUACAGAGAGAAAGUAAGAGUUACUCAGAAGCCAGCAUGUGCCCAGCCCUGGGCCAAAUCUUCUGCACAUGGCAUUUCAUGUUGUCCUUGAAAUGACCCAUUUGAAAGAUGAGAGAACUGAGCCUGGGCUGGGAAUAAAGUGAUGCUAAGAGACCAGGACUAAAGCCAGAUGUGUCCAGCCUCCUGCGACACAGCAGGGUCCCUGGGAUGUGGUUGAGGCAGCAGUGGAAGGAGGCGCAAGUCUGUAGUGAGGCCAGGAAGUAGAUCCUCCAGUCUGGAGACCAGCAGGGAGGCUCUGUGCAGCCAGCGAGGAGUCACAAGUCUCCAUCGAGUGGGGAACAGACGCUGUACAGUGGAUCCUCAGCUAACCAAGUCAGAUAGUCUGGGGAUGAGUCCCAGACCUGACAUGCUCGGGGACUGACCUGGGACAACCUGUCACCUCUCAGGGCCUCGGGUGGCUGACACUGGCAACAAGGACCGUGCUGGGCAGCACUGUCGUGGUGGUGGCAUAAGCAAGGGAACCAAGCUGGGGCGGGUGGGCUCCCUGGAUGCAGACCUGUAGACUGAGACCCGUGAGCAGCACGAGGGGUCCUCGGGGUGCCAUGGGCGUCCCUUCAGGCUCUAAACUCGCAGGGAGAGAAAAAGAAGUAGAAUUAACAGAGAGAGAAGCUGGGAUGUGGCCUGGGUGCACCAGGGACCCCAGCUGGUCCCUCAGGGGCUGAGAUGGUUCUAGUCCCCUGCCUAGAGAUUGGGAGCCAGGGCAGUGGUUGCCAGAAGGGGGCUUGAGCCCUGCAUCUGAGGGCAGCUGCUGUGAGCAGGGGGCUGGAGCUCUUGCCCUCCACACCCCGCACUAACUAGAGAGCUAUUUGAGGCCGCAUCACCUCACCCAGCGAAGAGCCCCUCGAUCCUUGGUUGGGCACAAGUGCAUCAGUUGCACUUUCCUCUGCCUGGAGCCUACAGUUGAGUCACCGAGGGCAGGUGGGUGGAAGGGGCUGUGUCCAGGUGAGCAGGCAGGCAGGUGGGGGCAGAAGGAGCACCCUGCCAUGUUUGAAGGGAUGAGGUCUUAGGGGAGCACCUUGCAUGGUGAUGGCAGUGCAAGGGCUAUGCCCCCCCUCCAGUGUCACAACUGGCAGCGACCAGACGCAUGAGGUGGGAGGAUGGAGGAGAAACAACCCCAGCCUCGCCUGUCACCCCACAGGGCUGUGCCUUCCAGCCGGGCGCUCGACCCUGGAAAAAAUUGACUGUGUUUCCGCCUGACUGGUUGAGAGUUACAGGCUGCGGGCUGGGGAGGAGGGGCAGGGUGGCGGGCAGCUGCCUCCUCAUCAGGAUGGAUUUUUCUGCUUCUCUGCUUGUAGGAAGAGCAGGAACAGGCUACGGGAGGCUGCUCAAGGAUCGCUGUUCAGGCGAGGGCAUGUCAAGGGCUGGCUUUGUGAUGGAGGACGGGAGGGAGUGGGGAGAGACGGGUGAGAGGCCGUGGGCAGGCGAAGGCCUCCAGCUGCAGGGCACCCAGAGCCUGCGGCAUGAGAAAGGGUUUGCCUCCCCUUCAUCUUCCCCUUUUCUCUUUCUUUUCCUUCCUCCCUCUCUCCUUCCUUCCCUCCUGCUUAUCCACCCAUCAUCCACGUGUUCACCCACCAGCAGCCCCUUCCUUCCAUCCUCUCAUCCAUCCACCUACCCAUCUUUAACUGAUUCACCCACACACUCCCAUCCCAUCCUUUCCUGACACCCAAGGCAGUCAUUUCUUGGGGAUCUGCCUGAGUCAGGCAUGGCACUGGACCCUGCUGAUGACCAAGUCCAGAUCCUGCUCUCCUGGAACCUGCAGUCCUGAGGGACGUGAUGGCUCCGCAGAAAGAACUCAUUGUCCUCUCUCUGGGUGGCUCAACAUUCUUGGGGAGCAUCAUGGUGUGUGGCAAAGUUGGAGACACUUGGUGGUGGCGGGGAGCAAAGGGACAGCUCUGGGAACAGGCACCUGCAGGGACAGAGACAUGGAGAGCUGCGGGUCUGAGGCUGGCUAGGAAUGCAUUUGGCCUAAGGCUGGGUGCGAGUCUCUUCGAGGCCAAGGUGUGGACACUUAAUGGAACCAGGGAAGUGGGAUUGGUCUGGACCUUCCGGGGCCUUGAACAUCAACUCCAAGACUUUGGACUCUUCUCUGGAUUGAAUGGGGUUUUCUUUUUAUUUAUUUGUAUAUGUCUGGACCACACGGUGUCUAUAGUCACCUUUGAGGGUGGUUAUGUAUACCUCGAUUCUUUUUAUCCCCUUUCCCACUCCCUCCCUUCCUCCGUCUCUAGAGCCCCUUUUCUAUUAUUAUCUUAGUGCUGUUAUCAUUAUUUCCAGUUCAUGUUUGUGACACACAAAGAUUCCAUUCGCGGAGAGUCACGUACGUGACGCAUCUUGGGUCUUUUUAUAUCCCCUUCCCUUCCUCCUCCUCCCACCCUCAGACUCGGUCCCUGCCCAUCCUAAGUGGCGUUUUCUUAUUCAAGCAAUAGGAACCACUUUUCAUAUCAAGUUAUAUAUAGAACUCCAAAGUGCAAUGAAAUACAGCAGAGGAGCUGACGCAGAGGCGCAUUCCAGAACAUUGUGUGCCGAAGUCUUCUCACAUCUUCCCCCCACUGUGAUGUAGCUGGAAACACGGGCACAGCACCUCAGGCUCCCAGAAAACCCACCCUGAAAAUGAAGGGAGGUUAUAAAAGAGUUCUCUUUUGGAGAGACCCAUCCGCAGCAGGUCCCAACUCUUGCAGGACAAAGAAUCAGAGUGCUUGUGGAGGAGUAAAAGUGGCUUUUACUACAAAUUAGAGUGAUAGCUUUGAUUCCAGAAUGUCCUGCCCCGUCUCCAGGGCUUUGCCAGGCCACCAUCAGUUCCAUCUGAACCACAUGCAUGCCUGUGAUUCCCUAGCGUGGGCUGACUCAGCUCACCCUCGUCCUAGUCCUUCCCAGCAUCUGCAUCGGCCUCCUCCUCUCUGGAGUGCCAGCCUGCAGCCCACUGCACCAGGGCCUCCCUCCCCUGCCACCCUCCUUCCAGCGGGGAGUCUUCCCUGUUUCUGAGUCUGACCCUGAGAGCUGAGAUCCAGCCCCAGUCAGUCCACAGUGGAAUUUGUCCCGAGCCAUCCUACCAAGCCUUGUGGACCCUCCAGUUCAUGGAUGUCCAUCCUCAUUCUCUGGAUUCAGCAGGUUCGCAUGUGUGGAGAUCAGAGUAGAGGCAGGUAGGACUGUGGAGCAGAAACCAGAGCAUGAACCCCAGCACACAGCAGGUGCUCAGAGCAUGUUGACAGCAAGACAGCAACAACUACAUCGGAGUCUCCAGGAGGUGCCUAAGAAGGGACGCGGAGCUGGGUUUGGGAGGUGGUGGCUGAGGACAGUCUGAAGCGGUCUCCUGAGCCUCAGGACACACUGCUGCCAGGCUGCUUUGGCCGGCAUGCCGAAGAAGGUGGUGCAGGACAAUAUGUGUGCACAGCCUCUGAAUAUGCACCCUCGUUCCCACUGUUUACAUCAUUAAUUUGCACGGCCCCAUUUGCAUGUGCUCUUCCAACUCAUACUUUUUACGAUGCAAUUACUACUCAGAGAUGAAUCUUUUAUGAGUUUCUUUUUAAUGUCUCCAGGGUCCUGUAUUCUUGAGGAAAUCUUGUGGAGGACAGCUAAUUUCUCUUAGAGGGAGGAUUUCAAGCCCAGGCGUCCUCCAGGGCUCCACCUGCAGGGCUCCUCUUCCAGGGCUGAGCCGUGCUGUCUAGUUCAUCUUUGAAGAGGAGCAGGAGGAGGCGGGCAGGGGCCCAAGGAAGCGACUCACACAGGGAGAGGUCACCGCAGCCCAGAUGUGGGUGUGGCCUUGGCGUUUCCCAGUUCUCUAGACUCUGGGGUGGAAGAUGUUUUGUGCCAUUCCCCAGAGGGUAGCAUUUGAGGUCCAGACAGAGGAGGGAUGGAUCUGAGUCCCACGGACCCUCACGGUGCCCAGAAGAGUCGGUGCCUUUUCCUCUGCUUGCAUCACUGUGACACCCCCCCCUUCAUUCCUCCUGUGCCAGGUCAAAUGGCCCAUUUUCAGAGAAUUUUUCUCUGGAUGCCCAAGAAAGCCUGAAUUUCCCAUUCAAAAUACUCUCCCAACUUCUUGCAAUGACCUUUUCUUUCUUCCCAUAAUUGAUAUUUUAUUUUUUCUCUCUCUCCCUCUGCAUCUUCUCUCUCUCUCUCUCUCUCUCUCUCUCUCUCUCUCUCUCUCUCUCUUUCUCUCCCAAUCAUAUGUAUGCCUAUUUUUUCUUAUUAUCAUUUUCACAGGUAAUAUUUGUACAUAUUUAUGAUAUACAACAUGAUAUCUUGAGAUAACAUGAAAUCAAGCUAGUGGAUUUAUGUAAUACUUCAAUAGGAAUCACUUAUUUGUAGUGAAAACACUUGAAUCUAUUCUCUUAGCAAUUUACAAGAAUAAGAUACACUGUUAUUAACUACAGUCUGAAAAAUAAAUCUUUUGAA